GUGCUCACUUUGGCAACACACGUAAUAAAAUUGGAAAGAUACAGAGAAGAUUAGCGUGGCCCGUACAUGAGAAUGACAUGCAAAUUCAUGGAGUGCUCCAUAUUUUU
ensembl:snRNA U6 U6 spliceosomal RNA